rnacentral:rRNA from 1 species
UACGUAGGGGGCAAGCGUUGUCCGGAUUUAUUGGGCGUAAAGCGCUCGCAGGUGGUCCGUCGCGUCGUGCGUGAAAUACCCCGGCUCAACUGGGGGGGGUCGUGCGAUACGGGCGGACUGGAGGCCAGUAGGGGGAUGCGGAAUUCCGGGUGUAGUGGUGGAAUGCGUAGAGAUCCGGAGGAACACCAGCGGCGAAGGCGGCAUCCUGGACUGGUCCUGACACUCAGGAGCGAAAGCGUGGGGAGCAAACAGG